GAGGGUGAAAAGAACCUGAAACCGUUACGGGGGAAGCGGAUUGCAUUAUUCUAGUUUUAACGUGUUCAACCUUUUAGGUGCAUUGACGUUAAAACUUAUCUGCUGUGGAUUUUUGAUAAUUGAAAAUGAAUUAUUAAAGAUUGAGGGCUCCACUUUGUGUGAGGACAGCGGAUUGACGAUGCGAUACGACCCGUCUUGAAACACGGACCAAGGAGUCUAGCGCGGGUGCGAGUCGGAAGGUGUAAAAACCUGUGGGCGAAGUGAAAGCGAGAUAAAACUCUCAGUUUGAGGCGGCAUAUUUUCGUUGAAAAUAGGUCCGACCUUGAGCAGUUGCGCUGGGACCCGAAAGAUGGUGAACUAUGCCGGAGUAGGGCAAAGCCAGAGGAAACUCUGGUGGAGGCUCGUAGCGGUGCUGACGUGCAAAUCGCUCGUCGAACUUGGGUAUAGGGGCGAAAGACUAAUCGAACCAUCUAGUAGCUGGUUUCCUCCGAAGUUUCUCUCAGGAUAGCGGGCCGACAUAGUGUUGUUUUGUGCGGUAAAGCGAAUGAUUAGCGUAUUUGGGGACAUUUUGUCUUCAGACGAUUCUCAAACUUUCAAUGCGCAAGGGUGUUGCUGCUUAAUUGAGCUUCACCGGUAAAAACGUCGGCCCUGUGGGCCACUUUUGGUAAGCAG
rnacentral:rRNA from 1 species